rnacentral:rRNA from 1 species
UACAGAGGUGGCAAGCGUUGUUCGGAAUUACUGGGCGUAAAGGGCGCGUAGGCGGCCUUCUAAGUCAGACGUGAAAUCCCCAGGCUUAACUUGGGAACUGCGUCUGAUACUGGGAGGCUUGAGUGCGGGAGAGGGAUGUGGAAUUCCAGGUGUAGCGGUGAAAUGCGUAGAUAUCUGGAGGAAUACCGGUGGCGAAGGCGGCAUCCUGGACCAUUACUGACGCUGAUGCGCGAAAGCUAGGGGAGCAAACGGG